rnacentral:lncRNA from 1 species
UCCGUUUCGCGCUUUUUCAACGUCUUUUUAAUCACUUAACACAUUUUUUCAAACAUGGUUAUUUAGUUAUUUACUUAUUUUGUCAUCUUUGAAAUAUAAAUAAUCCAAGAACUACAAACGAGGCCCAAAGCUUACACAAGAGAUGCAUAAAGCCCAAAAUAAAAAACAAAAAUCCAUACAAGAGCACACAACAAAAAUCUCAUUAAAAUUCGGUUGCCCAUUGAAACUUGGUUUUCCAUUUGCAUACCACGCAUUAGAUUAGCGUGAGAGGGAAAUCACGUGUCAAUCAUGCCGUAAAAGAGUGACUUUACGACAACCACCAGAACACAUUGGAAACAGGCCGUUGAGAACGGGGAACCGCCAAGACGAUUUUAGACCAUGAAUAACCAAACCAUCGGAGUUGUUACCGCCGGAGCUGUCAAGGGAGCCAUCCAACAAGCUAAACCCAUUAUCCACAGAUCUCUGCUUUUGAUCUCCGCAACUUCAAUUACAGAUAGUUGAUCCAACUAUCGAUUUCCAUGCAAGACGCACAAAGCAACUUUGAAGAUGAGAAGAAGUUUGAAGAUGCGACAAUCCUACCGAGGGGAUGGGGAAUCAACCGAGAGCUGAAAUCAAGGUUGGAGAGAAGGAGAUCGAGAGGCGGAGAUCGAGCCCAAAUAAAAAAAAUCAGGUAGUAGUAGAAAGAUAAAUAAGAGAGAAAGAUUAGGUAUUUAGUUAUUUACUAUUAAAGCGUUUAUUUGUCUUAAAUGUAGUAUUUUUGUAUUUUAAAAAUAUAUUACUAUAGCAAAGGUUCUAUUGCUUGUUUUGCAAAAUAAAUUGAUUUAAACUAUUUAAAAGUUGUUAAAUGAUUUAACAAGUUUGUAUUGAUCUGUAUUUUUCGGGGAACCAUUAGUGAUAUUGAAUCAUUAUGCAAUACCGCCAAGCUGGUCAUAUGAUUGUUCCUAAAUAAGUAUUUGUAAAAAUUUAAAUAAUUUUUAGCAGUUUAGGAUACUAUAUUUAUAUAUAUUAUCUUCUUAAGUUUUAAAAGUCAGAACCAAUAUUUCAUUGGAUUUGAGCAAAAACAUACCUUCCACAUAAAGAAAAGAAAUCUAGAGGAAAAGAAAGAAAAGGAGUGUGACCAUCAUUAUUUAUAAACUACAAGUCACGUAUCAUGAGAAUACAGAAAGCAUGACUUGUAAUACUGAUUAGAAGGCUUCGAUAGAAUUCACUCUUAGAGCAUCUUUAUCGGGGAUCUUAUGGGGGGUUUUUAAUAAAAUUAGGAAUUAAAAAAAAAUGAAAAAAAGGCAAUUAUCAUUGAAGACGUAUCUUAAUUAGGCCACACAAGCAACGUCUCUUGUAUGCCACGUGUAGCUUUGAUAGAGUUUUGGGAGGAGAAUACGAGAAAGGCAAAAUCACUUUGCGAAGAACAAAAUCAUCGACGACGACGAUUAAAUGUAGUAUUUUUGUAUUUUAAAAAUAUAUUACUAUAGCAAAGGUUCUAUUGCUUGUUUUGCAAAAUAAAUUGAUUUAAACUAUUUAAAAGUUGUUAAAUGAUUUAACAAGUUUGUAUUGAUCUGUAUUUUUCGGGGAACCAUUAGUGAUAUUGAAUCAUUA